CUUUGGAGUCAUUUGGAACAAAAGAAGAAGAAACAUGGCAAAAAGUGAUGCAGAUAUUGUCUGCAAAGCAUGACGGCUUUAAUGAUGAAAAGAAAUUGAAGAGAAGAAAUGGAUUUGAGAAAUAAAAGACGGUUGUUGUGGAUGGAAGAAAGCGUUCACUUGGAGCACGAAAGGCGAAAACGUCGUUUCAUGUACAUGCACUAUUGGGAGUACAAUGGAGGAAUAGGGGGUUGUUGUUCUUUGGUGGCCUGUAUCAUUUUCUGGGUGCCUGUGGCACUUCUUAUCAUUACCACACCCUAGAAAUCAGAUGAGAAUUCAUUUCUCAAUCAUUUCUUUUCUUUAUCAGAGGAGAAUGGAGGCUGCUGUUCACUGGUACCCAAAUUGAGCAGCUGAACCAAAUCGAGAGUAAAUAUGGUGUAAAUAUAGAUCGAGAAGAACAAGGAGAAACAGUUGUUGCUGUUGAUUUGAAUCAGAUUGAAUUGGUUCUCGAUAUGAAGAUUCAGUUGAGCAAUUAAGGUUUGUGGUUGCUGCUAUUGAAAUUGAGUGAAUUCAAGACAUAAAGCUACUGAAGAAGAUGGGUUCAUCUGAGAAGGGAUUAAGCGAGUUCUGAGCUGUUCUUGGGAUUGAGUUUUCAAGCUACAGAUUAGCAAUGGAAGUGUUACGAGGGGUCUCCUUGAAUUGGUGUUUACAUCAAGCACAUACAUGGAAAUUUGAAAAGGAUCUGAGAUUAAUUCACGACCGUGGUUGAGAAUCAGAAGCUAGGGUUUGCGACGAAUUUCAGUGAUGAAGAUGAAGACCCUGGUGUUACUGUUAGGGGUGUUGAGAUAAUGAAGCUGAAACGAUGGUAUACUUAGGUUGGCAGCAAGUGGAAUGAAUAGAUGAUGAUGAUACUGGUGUCGAUAUUGUGCUGGUACCAUUCAGUUCAAAGACAGAGAUGAUUAAAGGGUUUGUCUGGAUUCAAGUCUACAACAGUGUUGAUGUCGCUGAGGUCGAGAAUCCAGUGAAGAACAGGCAAUUGAAGGAUGUAACGUUUUAUGGUGGUUAGCUGAGUCUUAGGCAGAAUUGGCAGUGGUGAUGGACGAGAAUGUUGCAACUACAAUUACAGGUUGUUGUUGCAGUUGGAGGAGUCAGAUCUGUGAUGCAGAAUGGGUGUGCUGAUGGCAGUAACUGAUGCAGGUAGUGGUUGCUUCCAUGAGUUCAAUGAUCUUAAAGAGAUGGUGCUGCUAAUUGAUGCUGGGAAGCCAGAAUGGUUGAACUGAGUUGCUACAAUGGAACUAAGCUGAAGGAAAUGGUGCAGAAUUAGUGUUGCAACUGUGCAAGGAGAAUGGCUACAGGUAGAUUAGUUGUUGGUUGAAGUGCAACUUAAAUGAAAGAAUGAAGAUUUAGAAUGAAGUUGGCCGGAGCUGUGAAGUAUGUAACUGCAACUGAAUUGAAGGUUGCUGCCAAGGGUAUGAUGGAAGAAGUUGGUGAUUGCAAACUAAUAAAGAAUCUGGUAGUGCAAUUAGACUGAAACAAAGAUGAAUGUGCAGUUCUAAAUGGUUCAGGUGGAAGCACAAGAUGCAGCUGCAUUUGCAGGUUCAGGGUGCUAUGGAAGUGAUAGCACAACAAGGAGAAGGUUGUGUCAUGGAAGAGCAGAAAAGGGAAUAAUCCGUGGAUUGUUGUUGUUGUGAUAUAGAAUUGAAGCUGUAAUGGGUUGAACGGAACAAGGUGGUUGCACUGAUGGGAUUUGAGCUUGAGAUAUCUGAGUAUGGCAAUGUGCAGGGAAGGCUAGGUGCCAGUUUGCUGGUGGUGUUAGAAUGGAUAUAUGGAAUGUCAUGGAGCUGAAGGCAGUGGUCAUUGAUUGUGGGUACAGAUGGGUUGAGCUGAACUACAAGGGUUGCUGUCAUCGAUUAUGCAUGGGUUGAGUUGCUUUUAAAACUAAGAAGGAAUGCAAACGGUGGCGCUGCAUUGGGUUGCAAAAGAAGGUGUUGGCAUGAAUUUGCUGAGUCUGUGUUGCUGCAAUGAAGUGAUUGAAUGAACUGAAGUAAUAUGUGACUUAGAUGAAUGUUAGGAUUGAAUACAAAGAAUGAGCUGAAAUAGAAGGCCUGAAAUUAGACUGAAUCGGACGGAACUCGGUCAGAAUCGGAGUACAUCGAGUUGACUCACUGAUCCGGUUCUGAUUCAGAUGGACUUGGACCUGUUUAGACUGGGCUUGGCUGAUGGGAUGUCAGGCUUAUUGGCAGCGGGCGUGACUUAGUUUUGGAAGGAGAGAAAUACAGCAAGUGUAUAAAAGGGUUUUUGCUUCUAUCUUAUUAGGAUCUUAUCUUCGACUACUUUUGUUCAAGGGUUUUACAGCAUGAAAGCUUUUUUUUUUCUUGUUAUGAAUUCCAUGAACAUGAGCUAGAUUAUUAUUUUUUGUUAUGGAUAAAGUUGACUUCACAUAACAUGAAUCCUUGUUUGAUA